UACGGAGGGAGCUAGCGUUGUUCGGAAUUACUGGGCGUAAAGCGCGCGUAGGCGGCUUUGUAAGUUAGAGGUGAAAGCCCGGGGCUCAACCCCGGAACUGCCUUUAAGACUGCAUCGCUUGAAUCCGGGAGAGGUGAGUGGAAUUCCGAGUGUAGAGGUGAAAUUCGUAGAUAUUCGGAAGAACACCAGUGGCGAAGGCGGCUCACUGGACCGGUAUUGACGCUGAAGCACGAAAGCGUGGGGAGCAAACAGG
rnacentral:rRNA from 1 species